GACGAACGCUGGCGGCGUGCCUAAUGCAUGCAAGUCGCACGCGGCCCCUUCGGGUGCUGAGUGGCGAACGGCUGAGGAACCCGUGGGGACCUGUCCGGGUCUGGGGCUCAACACCCCGAAAGCGGUGCUAAUCCCGCCUACGCCCUGUGGCGGAAAGCCGCAAGGCGCUCCCGGGUGGCCCUGCCGCCCAUCAGGCUGUUGGUUGGGUCACGGCCUACCUAGCUAAUGACGGGUCGCUGGUCUGUGCGGACGACCAGCCAGACUGGGACUGGGACACGGCCCAGACUCAUACGGGAGGCAGCAGCAAGGAAUUUUCGGCAAUGGGCGCAAGCCUGACCGAGCAACGCCGCGUGCAGGAAGACGGCCGGCGGGUAGAAAACUGCGGUUGCUAGGGAGGAUAACAGACAGUACCUGGCGAAUCAGCACCGGCUAACUCUGUG
rnacentral:rRNA from 1 species